GAUGAAGAACGUAGUGAAAUGCGAUAAGUAAUGUGUAUUGCAGAAUUCAGUGAAUCAUCGAAUCUUUGAACGCACAUUGCGCCCGCCAGUAUUCUGGCGGGCAUGCCUGUUCGAGCGUCAUUACAACCCUCAGGCCCCCGGGCCUGGCGUUGGGGAUCGGCGGAAGCCCCCUGCGGGCACAACGCCGUCCCCCAAAUACAGUGGCGGUCCCGCCGCAGCUUCCAUUGCGUAGUAGCUAACACCUCGCAACUGGAGAGCGGCGCGGCCACGCCGUAAAACACCCAACUUCUGAAUGUUGACCUCGAAUCAGGUAGGAAUACCCGCUGAACUUAAGCAUAUCAAUAAGCGGAGGA
rnacentral:misc_RNA from 1 species